rnacentral:lncRNA from 1 species
UGGAGUGGUGGAGGAGAUGACGUGGAGCAACGUGUGGUUACCCUUUUGGGACGUUGAGUUUGUUGGAAGAAACUACAGUUUAUUGUUCAGCGAUGUUGCUUGGGAUGAUGAUAUUUGGAACCUCAAGAAUCUAACUCAUUUCUCAUAGUCCUUUUCUUUAAGAAAAUAAAUAAUCUGAUUUAUAAUUCCUUCUAAAUAAGUUUUCCUUAUAUGAGGUUAAUAUGAAAGUAAUUAUCUAUAGAUUUAAGAAUUAGUCUGUUUAGAAUCUAUGUUUAGACCUUAAUAAUAGUGUAUUGUUAAGUUGUUUAUAUAUAUACAAACGCCUUUCAAGAGUGAUUCUUGCCAAAUUCAAAAAACAUUAUGCCUCCGAUAAUGGUAAGAUACCCUCAUUAAAGUGGAUCGAUAUAUCCCGGUCAAAGUCAACUUUGUAAUCUAAUUGCUUACCUAUAAUGAUAUAAUCUAAUUCCCAUUUGAUCAAAGAUUUAUUUUUGAGCAACUCCCAUUUGAUCAACUAAAAUUUGGUUUCCGUUUGGUUUGGGUUAUUACUUAUUAGAUAGAAGUCAUACCCUACGAAAACCAAGUUUUCACUUAGGUUCGUAUGAUUUUGGUUGAAAUAAAACUUUAGAUUUGAGUAGAGAAAUUCUACGAAUAAAAAUUUACCUCUAACUCAGAACUCAACGCAAUGGAUUCAUUUAUUGCGGAAAAGGUAAUUUUAAGCAUGAUUAUUAGAGAUUCUUAUAAUAUAAUUCUUAACUGAAUAUAAGAAUCUAUCUUUUAAUUUUUAACUAAAAAAAUUAAGAACCGGUUCUUAAAACUCUUAAUGAAAAACCGGUUUUUAGCUUUUUUAGUUAAAAGUUAAGAGAUGGAUUCUUAUAUUCCAUUAAUAAUUUUACCCUAAAAACUCUCUAAUAAUCAUGCUCUUAGCUUCCUUAGCCACAGACACCUCGCUCAUGUAAGGGAGGUACGAGAAAGUCUUCACCUGGUGGCCACACCUACACAUCGCCGGCUCACCUAUACUAGGAAUAUAGGUAUUAUGUACUAAUUAAUUUAGUCUAAGAUGGUUUCCUAAAUGAAAUUAUAUUAUCUAAAAUUAAAGUACAAAGUCACAGCCCGUCACUAUUACCAUCCGAAUCUUGAUUUCGUGAAAUGCAUAUUAUUCAAAAAUAACAAAAAAUUAUUUAAAACUAGGGUCGUUAGCGCGGAAUUUGGUUUACAUGUGAUCUAUGUAGCUAUGUAAUUAUAUAUUUUCGUUGUUUGUAUUUUAUGUUUGUUUUGCAAAAACAGUGUAUUUUGACGUUUAUGGUCUCAAAUAAUAUUAGGGUUUGUAGAGAUUAUGUUUGAGGUGUAAGUGGACUUUCUUAUUGUAUUUAUUUAUAAUUAUUAAUCUAUAAUUUGUUGGUUAACUGUGGAUUUCUCUAAUUUGGGUUCUUAAAUGUGUGGAUGUGUAUAUUUGAUUUGCAUGUCAGAGUAUAAGGUGCAUACUGAACACCUACAAACUUAUUUGAAAUAUAUUGGGUUGGAACUAAAGUGUGCAUUACGGUUUGGUAUGUCUUUUGUUUUUAAGAAAAUUGUUCAUUUCUGUUUUAAAGGAGAUUAAGUUAUAGCUAUUAAUUUGAAGCAUAAGGACAACACACGUAGGCAAGGAGAAUUUAUUCUUUGAAAUGUAACAUNNNNNNNNNNNNNNNNNNNNNNNNNNNNNNNNNNNNNNNNNNNNNNNNNNNNNNNNNNNNNNNNNNNNNNNNNNNNNNNNNNNNNNNNNNNNNNNNNNNNNNNNNNNNNNNNNNNNNNNNNNNNNNNNNNNNNNNNNNNNNNNNNNNNNNNNNNNNNNNNNNNNNNNNNNNNNNNNNNNNNNNNNNNNNNNNNNNNNNNNNNNNNNNNNNNNNNNNNNNNNNNNNNNNNNNNNNNNNNNNNNNNNNNNNNNNNNNNNNNNNNNNNNNNNNNNNNNNNNNNNNNNNNNNNNNNNNNNNNNNNNNNNNNNNNNNNNNNNNNNNNNNNNNNNNNNNNNNNNNNNNNNNNNNNNNNNNNNNNNNNNNNNNNNNNNNNNNNNNNNNNNNNNNNNNNNNNNNNNNNNNNNNNNNNNNNNNNNNNNNNNNNNNNNNNNNNNNNNNNNNNNNNNNNNNNNNNNNNNAAAAUGAGGACAUGUACUAUAUACCUGCUCAAGAAUUGGGAAGAAGACAACCAUUGUACAUUGUACGAGCACCACCUUCUAAGGAGUCCUUUGUUGUUUGGUAAACAUGUACCUAAACAGACUGGGAAAACCCUCCACCUGUUUGCAAACAGGAGCCACCAAAUAAAACAUGGGUUACCGAAACCAAACUACAUUACAAAUAAAUGUUGGGAAAGAGGGAGAGACAAACCUUAACAGUUCGGACAUUCUGUAAACUCAAACCUAUCUUUGGCUCGUUUUCGGUUGGGAGCUUUCCAUUUUCUUGUACCCCCGCACAUAUCACCUAAUCAUAUAAACACAUAAGGGCAUCAAUGUUAAGCUCUUGAAGCUUAAGCAUAUCAAACGGAAACAGAGAAUAGUUACGACUUUGAACAUAGAAAGAUGUCAGCUUACGCAGAGUAAUCAUAUAUAUAUAUAUAAGAGUUUAGUAGGCUAAGAAAAUGUAACUCACAAAGAACAGUACCAAUGCCCUGGCAGUUACGGCAAACUCAUGGUUUCUUGUCUAAAGCAUCUGCGUUUUGUACAGAGACCAAAGUGUAGGCAUUGGUAAUUAAAGCUGGAGAUAAGCACACACAUGUCAUCAUUCACUGUCUCCUUGACAUCGAUUGCUGAUGCCCUGCAGACCAAGAACACAACCCAACUAAGAAGACUCUGAGAUUUUUCUUACCAAAAGGUAAUGUAAAGCACGUGCAUACACAAGUGUAGAUUUUAAACUACAGCUAGCUCAGCUCCCAAACUUACAGUGAACAGUAACAUUUAAAUACAUACACUAAUGUUCUUAGCAUCAAUGGAAGCCAAGAAAAAGAUAUUGACUUUCACAAAAUAUAAUGAAUUUAAUAUUGAUAAAUAGAAAAAGACCCAGACUUUGCACCUGGGUUUCGUUGGGUUGUCUCCAGUGAAAAUUGGAAUCGUUCGAACCGAAGCUCUGAUUGUCUGGGCAUGAUUUGGCGAGGAUAAAAACUCAAUUCCUGUUUGCUGCGGCUAAAAAAGAAACACUAUUGUCACGAAAAGAAAGAGGAUAGUAUUAAUAAUGUUGAGGAUGAGGAUGUUACAGAUAAACGGGGAAGAAGCUGUGUGAAGACGCGAUUAGAUUGCAAAGAGAUUAGAUGAAGCCGCAAUAUCCAUCCCGCUUAACGUUUGAACACUUCCUAGUCUUCAAAUCAGAAAAAAAAAACCUAGAGAUGGCCAUUUAGAGAGAUGAGUAGAAGAUCAAGAAUAAAGGAUAAGCAACAGAGAGAUGAAAAGAGCAAGAUCUCCAGAAGGGUGAAUACUAACCUAUUUAUAACGGAGAUCUCGACGGACGCAUUGAUGCCAUUAAAGUCAAGUUCUGUUACAGGGAGAAGGAGAACGAUGGAUCGUCAUUCUCGCCGCCGAGAUCAGACUCGGAUGAACGAAGGUGAUAAUUAGGUUUAGGGGGGUGACGCUUUAUGAUGUUAUUCGCAGGAAGCGACGAACGGACCGAAGCCCAAAUUUGCCAAAAACAACAAAAAAAAACUCGUACGAAAACGGUGAGUUUUUCAGGAGGGGGACACGUGGCGGCUCCAGAACGCGUGACUUUCCUAUGUGGAUGAUGACGUGGAGGCCUGUGACAGAAACAAACAGUCUUUUAUAUAAAAGAGAUAUAUAUAUAUAGUGUGCAUGUUAAAUCAUUUUUAAUCAUUUUUAGUUUGAUUAUUCCAUAAUAAUUUUAAAGAAUCAGAAUAAUGUUUAAAAUGACAAAAUACAAAAACCUAAAUGUAAUAUAAUUAAUUAAAGACUAUUACUCUAAAAAUUAAAUUAUUUUAUUAUCAGAAUUGCAUUUAAAUUUAUAUGUAUAAUAUGUUGAAGAUAAAAUAUAUACUAACUAUAAUUUUAAUAUUUAUCAAUUUUGUAAAAAUAAAUAAUUUCAAUUAUAAAAAUGUAUAGCAAUUUAUUUAAAAUCAUUAUUAAUGUGUACAGUGUUUUAAAACAUUUUAUCCGUUUUACCUUUCAACUCUAUAGUUUGGACCGUUUGAUCCGCAUUUGUUCCGUCAGAUAUGCUAGAUCCACAUUUGUUCCGUUCGAUAUAUUUGAUCCACUGGAUCCGCAUCGACUGAUAUGCUAGAUCCACAUUGAUUGAUACGCUAGAUCUGCAUCUCGACUGAUCCGCUUUUUUUUUUUCUUUUGGAGCCAAAUUAUAACUUUCUCGGUUGAGAAAUCAGAAAAAUCUAUAAAUCAGUUUGGGGAUUUGAAUUAUGAACAUCUGACCAUCACGUGACCGCAUUGAUUAAUUUAAUUGGUUACCUCUUAAACUAUAUGGUUACAAAUUAAUGUAUAAAUGUUUGUAGUACCGACAUACUAGUGGGACUAUAAGUUCAUAAUAGGGAAUCUGGCCACAUGAGUCGUGAAUCAUGACCGGACAUUUUUAUAAAGAAAUGAAGAUCAUUGAGAAGAAUUUAUUGGUCGACAUCGAGUCUUAUCGUAAACUGUUGGUCCAUAGAUUUUGCCACGUCGCACAAGCCCGUUAUCUUAUCUCAUCAACUUGAGAAAAAGUUAAACUGAUACUUUAACCCACAUCAUAAUCGGUCACUUCUAUCUUCAUAUUUAGUCUCAUUGGAUUGUCUUACAGUGACCAAAUAAAAAAGGAUUGUUUUUUUUUUUUUGAAAAGAGCCUUAAAAAAAAAAAAAAAAAAAAAGAGUUCNNNNNNNNNNNNNNNNNNNNNNNNNNNNNNNNNNNNNNNNNNNNNNNNNNNNNNNNNNNNNNNNNNNNNNNNNNNNNNNNNNNNNNNNNNNNNNNNNNNNUUUGUAAUCUAAUUGCGUACGGCGUACCUAUAAUGAUAUAAUAUAAUUCCCAGUUGAUCAAAUUUUUAUUUUUGAGCAACUCCCAUUUGAUCAACUAAAAUUUGGCUUCCAUUUGGUUUGGGUUAUUACUUAUUAGAUAGAAGUCACACCCUACGAAAACCAAGUUUUCACUUAGGUUCGUAUGAUUUUGGUUGAAAUAAAACUUUAGAUUUGAGUAGAGAAAUUCUAUGAAUAAAAAUUUACCUCUAAUUAACUCGAACUCAACGCAAUGAAUUCAUUUAUUGCGGAAAAGGUCAUUAACCUCCUUAGCCACAGACACCUCGCUCAUGUAAGGGAGGUACGAGAAAGUCUUCACCUGGUGGCCACACCUACACAUCGCCGGCUCACCUAUAUUAGGAAUUAUGUACUAAUUAAUUUAGUCUAAAAUGGUUUCCUAAAUAAAAUUAUAUUAUCUAAAAUAAAAGUACAAAGUCACAGCCCGUCACUAUUACCAUCCGAAUCUUGAUUUCGUGAAAUGCAUAUCAUUCAAAAAUAACAAAAGAUUAAAUUAAGAUCCGCGCCGUGCGACAUUAUAUAUAUAAUUUAUUUUAUGUAUUAUAUAUUUUUUACAUAUUAUGAAAUUGUAAAUAUAUAUUAAAUAGUUAAAAAUCAGCAACUACUGCAUAUAUAAUUAAAUUUAAAUGAUAUUAACAUACAUAGUAUAUUUUUAAUAUUAAUGUCUAUUAAAUGAUGUUUUCAAUUCAUAUGAUUUUUUAAUCAUUUGUAUCAUUGAUAGCAAAAUGUUUAAAUUACGAAUAACAAAAUUUUCAUUGUGAGAUUAACAGUUUUAGUAAUUUAUAAUUUUUAAAAAAUUAAGUUUUCAAUGUUUAUUCAAAGCUUUUAUAAAAAAAAAAUUGUUCAAAGCUUUUAUAAAAAAAAUUAUUCAAAGUAAAUUUUGAAAUUAAAAUAUUAUUUUAUUUAUAUGGUAUAUAAUUCAAUUUAAAAUGAUAUAUAUAUGUAUAUCUUUUUAAUCUUAAUAAUUAAUUAAAUUAGAUUUCUUACUUAUAUAAUUUUAUAAUCAUUUGUAUUUUGUCAUAACAAAAUUUUUAAACCAUGGAUCACAAAAUUUGAAUGUGAGACUUUUAACAAUUUUAGUAAUUUAUAGUCGUUUAAAAAAUUAAAACACAACAUAUACAGAAAAAAUUAAAUUAAACAAAUAUGAAAGAAGAUACACUAAUUUUCAUCAAAUCUUUAUUAUUCAAAAUCAUUCAUUGUCAUAUAUACUUUAGCUAAAUUAGGCAAUUUUUUAAUUUUUAUUUAAGGAAAUAGUAAUGAACAUUAAAAAUCAAUUUAUGGUGAGUUUAAUUAAAAGUUAUUAUAUAAUUAGAUGAACCAACAUAUUUCUCUAAUGAUUCUAAACUAUUAUAUAAUGGAUUAUUUAAAUUUAGAACUUUGCAGUUCAGAAAACCAAUUGGUAAAUAAAAAGGUCAUCUUCAAAAAUGUAAAAUGUAUAGUAUUUUUUAAAUUUGAAAAUACUGUUUAGUUAUUCAAAAUUAAAAGAAAAAGAAACAAUAUAUUAUUGAAGCAAAAUAUCUUUCAAAAUAAAACAAAAUUUGAAAAAUAAAAUAUCAUUGAAUAUAGUCUUAACCAAUAUAAAGGUUUUGAAUGGAAGAUGAACUAAAGACUCUACUUUUAAAUGGAGGGACCACUACAAAUUUGCCAUUCACGUUUAUUAUGAAACAUAAACAGUUUUCUAGAAGAAAAAAAAUUAAAACUAAUCCGGAACGCAACAGUAAAAGUCGAUGAACUUUAUGAUAUUUUAAAUAUUUCUUAUAAUUAAUAUUUAACACAAUGUAUUUUGACAAAAUUAUAUUAAAAUUAUAAAUUUUAGUUUUGUAGUAUAUAAACAUUUAUAUAAUCAAUGUAUUACUAUAGUUCCAGUUUGACAUGAUAAAAUAUUUGAAAAACACACACACACACACAUAUAUAUAUAUAUAGUGUGUGUGCAUGUUUAAUCAUUUUUAGUUUGUGUAUUCCAUAAUAAUUUUAAAGAAUCAGAAUAAUGUCUAAAAUGACAAAAUACAAAAACCUAAAUGUAAUAUAAUUAAUUAAAGACUAUUACUCUAAAAAUUAAAUUAUUUUAUUAUCAGAAUUGCAUUUAAAUUUAUAUGUAUUAUAUGUUGAAGAUUAAAUAUGUACUAAGUAUAAUUUUCAUCUUUAUUAAUUUUGUAAAAAUAAAUAAUUUUAAUUAUAAAAAUAUAUAGCAAUUUAUUUAAAAUAAUUAUUAAUGUGUACAGUGUUUUAGAACAUUUUAUCUGUUUUACCAUUUAACUCUAUAGUUUGGAUCGUUUGAUCCGCAUAUGUUCCGCCAGAUACGCUAGAUCCACAUUUGUUCCACCAUAUACGCUAGAUUCAAAUUUGUUCUGUUCGAUAUGUUUGAUCCACUAGAUCCGCAUCGAUUGAUAUGCUAGAUCCACAUCGACUGAUCCGCUUUUUUUUUUCGAGUCAAAGUAUAACUUUCUCGGUUGAGAAACCAAAUCUAUAAAUCAGUUUGGGGAUUCGAAUUAUGAACAUCUGAUCAUCACGUGACCGCAUUGAUUAAUUUAAUUGGUUACCUCUUAAACUAUAUGGUUACAAAUUAAUGUAUAAAUGUUUGUAGUACCGACAUACUAGUGGGACUAUAAGUUCACAAUAGGGAAUCUGGCCAUAUGAGUCAUGAAUCAUGACCCGACAUUUUUAUACAGAAAUGAAGAUCAUUGAGAAGAAUUUAUUGGUCGACAUCGAGUCUUAUCGUAAACUGUUGGACCAUAGAUUUUGCCACGUCGCACAAACCCGUUAUCUUAUCUCAUCAACUUGAGAAAAAGUUAAACUGAUACUUUAACCUAUAUCAUAAUCGGUCACUUCUAUCUUCAUAUUUAGUCUCAUUGGAUUGUCAUACUUCGAAUUUUCUUCAUUCAAGAGAAUUUCGAACUUUUCCGUUUCAAUAUGAUAUACUAAAAUACAUGGAGUAAUUAAUGUGGACCUGUCUAACGCUUCGGAAUAUGAUGCCGACCAUUCCAAAGUUCAUUGUUGUCUCUAUUUAAUUUUUUUUUUUUGAGAAAGGAUUUUUUUAUAUUUAAUUGGCUACUUGUUCCCAAUUGCAACGGAAAACAAGUUGCAAUUUCACAACAGCUCCAGGAAAUCAAAGAUUCAAAGUGCAAGGGCCACUUGUUCAUAUUAUAUAAAAGCCUAUAAGAUCCACGACAGUAACCUUAGGCUCUCCUUAGCCUAUAGGGAGUUAUUUUUUAUUGGUUGUUCUAUUCCGGUCUGGUUACCCAGACCACCUCAAGUUUGAGUAAUAGAAUAGCCGUUUGACGUCAAAAAAAAAAAAAACCUUAGGCUCUCCUAAAAGGAACCGAAUAAAGAGGAAUAAAACAAGAGAAAAAUCUAUUCUUCUCUUAAUUUGAUAAGGAAUAAUUGUAAUCUAUUAUUUCUUAAAUUUUAAGGAAUGUUAAGGAAUCAUAAAAAACAAAUAUUCCUUGUAAAUGGUGUAAAUUGUAAAGAAUAAUAAGUAAUCUACUAUUUUCACUCAUUCCUUUUGUCAUUAUUUAGACCCUUAAUGUUCAAAUUUGAUUUUUCCAACUACUUUAUCAAAAUAAAACAGUAAAUAGAGGUUAACCUUUUCUAAAGUAGAAGCAAGUAACUACAAGUAAAACAAACCUACAAAUAAUAUUUUUUUUAACCUAUUAAGAAGUACAAACACACCCGUUAAUUAACCCUGUUUCUCAAGAUUAGGUUGAAUUAACCCUUUCAAGCAGAUACACAUACGACAUACCCAUGGCUAGGUGCCAUUGGAAUUUGGAAGUAUGUUUGGGCAUCAGGUUCUAGAAAGGUUUUUUUUUUUACUAUCCGGAGGUUAUGGGUCAAGAUCUUUAAUCCUCCAGGUCCGGGAUCCGACCGGUGCUGAUACCAUUUUGACGUAAAGCAUCCCUCGCAUGGUGCAUCGAACCCAAGAGCACAACAGCACCAACGUUUGCGCUUAAACCAACUGGACUGCCACAGGCGUGGUAAAAAGGUUUUCUUUUUUUUUUGAAAAAGGUAAAAGGGUUUCUUAGUCUCAAAUUUUAUUUCAUUCAAGUAUAUAAUUUAGAGAUAUUUUUAAAAUCUGUCAAAAGAAAUCAUCCCAAAGCUGUUAUGUUAAAAAAAAAACUCAUCCCAAAGAUUUAUGAGGUUAAUAUACAACGUAUGUUACAUCCAACCAAUGUUCGAAUAUGCUAACGCAAAUGGCACUGUCACCUCUGCAAGAUUCUUGAAUACAAGGUUAUAACUUAUAAGUAUAUCUUCCCAAAUUUGUAAAAAAAAAAAAAUUUAGUUGAAAUCUUUAAUAAACAACCCUAUAGCCCCCUAAUUAUAAGUUUUCUUAUAUAAAUUAUUUUUGUUUUCUUAAACGUGAAUGGUUUUAUUUAUAUAAUAUAUUUUUAUUUAUAAAAAUUAACUUAUUGUAUACAAUUAAUUAAUAUUAUAUAUAAAUAUCUAAAUUUAUUUUACAGAUAUAAAACACAGAUAAAUUAUUUUAAAUUAUUGUUUAAAAUGAUAUCUUAUGCAAAAAACUUGUAUGAGAAUUUUAUCUCUAUGAAAAUAUUAUUUAUUAAUUUAUUAAAAGGCAAUGCUUUCUAUAAAAAGAAACACAUAUAAAUUUAUUUUACACAUAUACAUAUAAAUUAUUUUACAUUAUUGUUUAAAAUGAUAUAUUAUGUAUAAAAAUUUGUAUGAGAAUUUUAUCUUUAUGAAAAUAUUAUUUAUUUAUUUAUUAAAAUUAGUACUUUCUACAAAAAGAAACAAAAUUCGUUUUUAUCUUUAUGAUUUGAUGCGAAUUCAGAUUUGGCUAAGGAAAAAAAGGCUAGAAGCUCAAGUUGCUGAAGCGCUUAAGUAUGCUUUAGAGAAAGAAGAUGAAACAUGACAAACUAGUUCUCAACUCAGAGAAGCCCAUAAAGGUUUGAAGAUGCAGAAUAAUGGGACGAAUCAGCUAUAUCAUCUUCUCAAUAUUGGGAAAAGUGAUAGAUAUGGUCUUAGAUUUCAAGGAAAGUCUUCUAAAGUUGAAGGUGUUUUUGUAUAAGCAGGAAAAAAAUGAGGUUAUAGGUAUGUUUGCUACAAAGACAAAGGUUAAGGUGUAUGCAAGGUAUGCCACAAAUGGAAAGACUGUAGUGAAGACUGCAACUAAUGUGAAGAAUGCGACUGCUACGAAUAAUGCUACAGCGACUGUUUUGGGUAAAGUUUCUAAUUUCAAGACUACAUCUCAACGAAACUUUCGACAAAUUAUCAUCACUAUGAUGUUGUUGGGCACAUUAGACAAAGGUGUUUCAAGUUGUUGACAGAGAAGAAUCAGAUGGAGCAAACUUAUGGUAUGAGCUGUCAUGGUCCAAUAUGUUAUUUUAGCGCAUAUUUGACGUGAUUAUUUAAGGUAUGUUCAAGGAGCUAAUCAUGGAGGAUUUGGACUAAGGAAUACGUGGUGUAGAAGAUUUGAUCACUAUGGAGAUGGUGGAAUGAGAUUUCAUUCUCACUUUGGAAGAUAUGGAUCUUCAUAUUAGUUUUUGACCAUGAUGUGACUCAUAGUGAGAGAUUUAUGAUGUGGUUUUAUAUCUAGAGGUUAUGAGUUCACAUGAGUAUUCAAAAAGGAGGAGAUUAAAGAUGCAGUUUGCUGAGAUGUUUUGUAUCAGUUCGUGAAUUAAUACAUGAGAUAGUACAUGCGUGUGUCAUGAAGAUGAGGUGGGUUAGAGUUAGUGUUUUGUGAUGUUCGUGGAUUUGUUAAGCUUGGAGAAUAGCUAUAUUAUUUAUUUGGAAUUUUUUAUUAAGUAUAAAUGAUAUUACUUGAAAAGGAAAAAAGAAGGAAAUUAUUCCUUAAGAGAAAAAAGAAAGUUGUUUAAGUUUCUUUUGGAAAAAUUGGGGGAGCAAUUUUUGGAUAUGGAUACAACGAGGAUGUAUGAAAAAAAUACGUGAAAAUUUCUAAGUAAAAGAUCAAGUCAAAUUAUCGGAUGAUAAUGAGAAAUACUGCAUAACUUUUUAAAUGAAACACGAGACUAAGUACUUGAAAUCAUGUAGUUUACAAUAAAAAUAUCUUUUACAAAACUUUCCAACAUUAUCCAAAUUCGAAACACCCUUCCCGAUGGUCUUUAUAGCCUCGUGCUCCGGUCCAUACAAUCAACCUUACCUGCAUCGCAAAAGGAAGCAUAAGUAUACAAAAUUACUCAGUGAGAACGCUCAAAACGGCCGACAUGCAACUCAAUAAUCAAGCAAUCAAAUUCCAUGCUCAAUUCUAACAACUUAGCAAUCUCAUUCUAUCAACCUAGCGAUCUGUUUCCAUCAUUCUUUACUUAGCCGUUUUCGUAUUACUUAUCCAUUUUCAUUCAUUCAAACUAACUACCUAGCAUCCAGUUACAUCAUUUCUUUACUUUAGCAUUUCCUAACAUUCCGACCAGAAGGUCUAUAUCAACCUACGGCCGUAGCCAAUCCUGCGACCGUAGCCAAACCUAUGGUCGUAGCCAAACCUGCGGCCGUAGCCAAACUUGCGGCUGUAGCCAACAUGCAGCUGUAGUCAACAUGCGGUCGUAGCCAACCUACGGCCGUAGCCAAACCUACGACCUGUUGGUCCAUUAUGGCCCGUAGCCAACCUACGGCCGAAGACAACCUGCUACGCGAAGGUCCAUAAUGGCCUGUAGCCAACAUGCGGCCAAAGCCAACCUGCGAUCCGAAGGUCCAUAACGGCCUGUUGUCAACCUGCGGCCGAAGCCAACCUGGACCUGAAGGUCCAUAACGGUCAAAGCCAACAUACACGGCCCGAAGCAAAAACAUGAUCAUAAUAUCUUUACAGUCUGAAACCAAAACAUACUUUCCUUAUUUAAUUUCAUUGCUCAAUCAUGUACUUUCCUUAUCUAAGUUCAUUCGUUUAUUCUUUUCUUUCCUUAAUAAAUCUCAUCAUUAAUCUAUUUUAUAACGUUUUCUACUAAACAUACUAAUUCUUUUCAAGAUCAAUUCUAUGUUCAUUUUCAUAAACAUAACAUCAUCACACACAAUCUAACAUGCAAAUAUCUUAAGAACACAAGAACGUUCUUUAAUCCUUGAGAACCAUAUCGAAGAACGAAGAACAAACUUUCCAUAAAUAAUUUCCCCAACAAAUAAUCUUCAUCCUAACAAACCAACUAUGACCAAUAUAUAAUUUAUUAAGUUGCUACAAAUCACACCCUCACCUUAGCUGAAUCUCAAGGAUUCGAAGACUCUGAACUACCUAGCGUUUCUAAGACACAUCGUUGUUGCAGAAGAUGGUGAAAGACUGUGGAUCUUGGGAUCUUUUGGCGCGUGACAAUUGAGGGACAGCAAGGUGACUUUGUGUCUUGUUUCUCUUUUUUCAUAGAUCGAAUCGACAUAGUUAAGACCUCCUAAGGUGUUAGGGAGCGAUUUUAGAAAAAGCGCUUUUGAUUGUGUUUUAUUUUCUAUCUUGUCCCUUCAGCGGAGUCUGGAGUGUAGUGUAAACUUGUACUAAUAGAAGUCUCUUUAGAGAAAGAAAAAAGAUUUAGCAAUACUGUACAUGCCAUCUUAGAAAAUAGAUAUUUUAAACCAUCUACGAAUCAAUAGUCAUUUAUAUUCAGUAUUGCAUUCAUUUUCAAAAUCAUAUUAAAGAAAACUCUUUUGAUGGUGCUUUAUUUUAUAUCUUUAAACUGAAGUAAUAAAUAAUACAUAUAUUUGAAGGAAUACAAUCAUUCACUCAUAUUAUAAAUAUGAUUUAAAAAAAAAUUAAUAACAAAACUAAGUUUUCUAUUUAAUUUAUUAAGAACUAUGUUUCUGGACAACUAUGUUUUAUUUUGUCACAUUAACUUUUAAAAUUAAUUUUAUUUUAUCUCAUUACCUUUUAAAGUAAAAUUUAAUAAUCUUUAAUAUAGUAAAAACGGAGUCUGGCAUGUAUUCAUUAUAAUAUUUGCAGAUUAUUUAAUGUAUCCCAUAAUUCAUAAAUAAAUAACCUUCAGAUAUUUUGAUUAUAGCAAUUAAAAAUAUUGUUAAAAAUGGAAAUCGCUCUUUACUCUAAAUCAUUUUUAUUAAACCUCUAAAUCAUAUAAAAUCAUAUUUAUACAAAAUUUUCUUGAAGAAUUUAUUAGGACAAAUUUAUUAGGACAAAUUUAUUAGGACAAAUUAAACUUCAUGCUGUCUCAUAUCGGAAACAACAUUUUCAAAAACACAUGUUAUAAAUAAAACUAUUACACAACAUAUUUUAAAUUCCAUGCCACUUGUAUCUACUUAACGGAAAUUUUGAGCUUAUAAAAGAAAUUAAUUAAUUUCGGAUUAAAUUUAAAUUUCUGCAAAUAUCUUCUCUAUUAAAAGAGAAUUACCAUUUUUAUCUACUACAAAAUAGUCAUACUAGAAGUCUAGGUCCAUAUAUUCAAAUAAUAUUUUUAUUGUUUACUUUAGUUUAUUUAAUGUAUAACAUUUCUAAAUAAUUAUAAGGAUAUUAAUAACAAAUUCAUUUUAACUAUAAAUUUAAAUUUUAGUUUUAGGAAUAACAAAAUCUGUUGAGAAAAAAUCUAACAAAAUCUUUUUAAAAAUUUAAAUAUUCUUUUAAUUAAUGCACUGAUUAAUUUCGGAAGAAACUACAGUUUAUUGUUCAGCGAUGUUGCUUGGGAUGAUGAUAUUUGGAACCUCAAGAAUCUAACUCAUUUCUCAUAGUCCUUUUUCUUUAAGAAAAUAAAUAAUCUUAUUUAUAAUUCCUUCUAAAUAAGUUUUCCUUAUAUGAGGUUAAUAUGAAAGUAAUUAUCUAUAUAUUUAAGAAUUAGUCUGUUUAAAAACUAUGUUUAUACCUUAAUAAUAAUAGUGAUUUGUCAAGUUGUUUAUCGCGUUUAUAUAUAUACGCCUUUCAAGAGUGAUUCUUGCCAAAUUCAAAAACAUUAUGCCUCCGAUAAUUGCAAGAUACCCUCAUUAAAGUGGAUCGAUAUAUCCCGGUCAAAGUCAACUUUGUAAUCUAAUUGCGUACGGCGUACCUAUAAUGAUAUAAUAUAAUUCCCAGUUGAUCAAAUUUUUAUUUUUGAGCAACUCCC